rnacentral:rRNA from 1 species
AGAGUUUGAUCCUGGCUCAGGACGAACGCUGGCGGCGUGCUUAACACAUGCAAGUCGAACGGUAAGGCCCCUUCGGGGGUACACGAGUGGCGAACGGGUGAGUAACACGUGGGUGAUCUGCCCUGCACUUUGGGAUAAGCCUGGGAAACUGGGUCUAAUACCGAAUAUGACCAUGCGCCUCCUGGUGUGUGGUGGAAAGCUUUUGCGGUGUGGGAUGGGCCCGCGGCCUAUCAGCUUGUUGGUGGGGUAAUGGCCUACCAAGGCGACGACGGGUAGCCGGCCUGAGAGGGUGACCGGCCACACUGGGACUGAGAUACGGCCCAGACUCCUACGGGAGGCAGCAGUGGGGAAUAUUGCACAAUGGGCGCAAGCCUGAUGCAGCGACGCCGCGUGAGGGAUGACGGCCUUCGGGUUGUAAACCUCUUUCAGCACAGACGAAGCGCAAGUGACGGUAUGUGCAGAAGAAGGACCGGCUAACUACGUGCCAGCAGCCGCGGUAAUACGUAGGGCGCAAGCGUUAUCCGGAAUUAUUGGGCGUAAAGAGCUCGUAGGCGGUUUGUCGCGUCUGCUGUGAAAACUGGAGGCUCAACCUCCAGCCUGCAGUGGGUACGGGCAGACUAGAGUGCGGUAGGGGAGAUUGGAAUUCCUGGUGUAGCGGUGGAAUGCGCAGAUAUCAGGAGGAACACCGAUGGCGAAGGCAGAUCUCUGGGCCGUAACUGACGCUGAGGAGCGAAAGGGUGGGGAGCAAACAGGCUUAGAUACCCUGGUAGUCCACCCCGUAAACGUUGGGAACUAGUUGUGGGGUCCAUUCCACGGAUUCUGUGACGCAGCUAACGCAUUAAGUUCCCCGCCUGGGGAGUACGGCCGCAAGGCUAAAACUCAAAGGAAUUGACGGGGACCCGCACAAGCGGCGGAGCAUGCGGAUUAAUUCGAUGCAACGCGAAGAACCUUACCAAGGCUUGACAUAUACGAGAACGGGCCAGAAAUGGUCAACUCUUUGGACACUCGUAAACAGGUGGUGCAUGGUUGUCGUCAGCUCGUGUCGUGAGAUGUUGGGUUAAGUCCCGCAACGAGCGCAACCCUCGUUCUAUGUUGCCAGCACGUAAUGGUGGGAACUCAUGGGAUACUGCCGGGGUCAACUCGGAGGAAGGUGGGGAUGACGUCAAAUCAUCAUGCCCCUUAUGUCUUGGGCUUCACGCAUGCUACAAUGGCCGGUACAAAGGGCUGCAAUACCGUAAGGUGGAGCGAAUCC